ACUAUUUUGACAGAGAAAUGUAAUGGUUUUAGAAGUCAUAAAUAUAUAAUAAAUUAUAUAGAUAGUA
rnacentral:tRNA from 1 species